rnacentral:misc_RNA from 1 species
UAAAUUUUGAUGUAUUUAUUGAUGGACAAUUCUGCUUUCGAAAGUGACGAGAAACCGAGACCAGGCGUAGAAAUGCAAGAGCUGAAGGAUGUGGUUGUCAAGGACACCAACGGCAAAGCAGCAGAGCACAUGUGUAAGGCAGAUUUGUGCCAACAAGUGCACAAAGAGUACAUGGACAGGCAACAGAGUAAUGCAAAUCCCCAGGACAAUUUGAAAAUGAUUUUCCUUCUUGGCACACUAGGGUUGUUUAUUACAUGGCUCUUACUAUAUAUAUUAUUGAAUAAACUCGAAAUAUUGUGAUUAACGAUGAAGUGUAGGGGACGGACAUCUCUUCACAAGCAUUCACCACAAAGUGAGAAUAGUUAUGUGGCGAUAUCUGAAAAAAUGAGUAAAGGGUGACAACUGAAACAUGCAAGUUAUACCAAUCAGUAACAUUAAUCGACUCUGACAAGGAUGGAAACUAAUGAAAGACUGCUGUGAAAAAGUAAAAAAUGCCUAAUGGUUAUACAAGAUUCAGUUAUUUAUAUGCAUAGUUUAUAUGAAAAGUUAUACAAAUUUGUAUACUCCCUAUCUUUACAAUACUAGUAUGCACCGUAUAACUAACUAUCAAUCAAUAUUGGCAAGAUAAUUUGAAGUGAAGAACAGGAACCAAAACUAUAUCUCUUGCAAAUUUUUAUUUCAACAAAACGUUAAACUCAAGUAUUAAAUAUGAUACGUUUGUACCAAAUUUACUACUUAUUCAAAGUAUUAAGGAUGAUGCCGCAGUUGGGAACUGUAUUUAAAUAAUACUUUAGAGUGAUUCCAGAAUAUUCAUGAUAAUACAUGAAAAAACUAUUAUCAUCAUGGAUAAGCCCAAAAUACCUACUACUUCCAGCAUUUAUUUUUAUAUACUAUUGAAAUAAGACUGUGUAAUUAUGUUUGAAGAAAGAAGGCUGUUACAAGAAAAUAAAAUUUGUAAAUUUUUAAAAAUUGUUUAUGUUUAAUUGUCUAACGACGCACCUCUCUACUGCUACGUGCUGAUGUACUCAAAAUAUCGGCUUAUUCAGUGGAACGGGAAUAUUUUAAUAAUAAUGGCCCAAUUGUCCUAAUAAUAAUUUUGACAAUUGAGUAAUUAAUAUUUCAUUUCAUUUAAAAAAUAUAUAUCAUGACCAGAGAUAAGGGAAGAUCUGGGAGAUUACUGAGUUCUCUCUGAUAUGAUACAUCUGGUAUUUUGAAUCAAUAUUUCAGUAUACAGUACUUCAAUUGAGCAAUAGAAUUUCCAAUAUAUAUAUAUUUUGAACCUUUUCAAUUUUGGAAUGUUUAAUCAAUAAUUCAAUGCAUAUUUCAAUUCAGAAAUAUCUCAUUCAACUUGGAAUAUCUAACAGGAUCUCCAUAAAUAUGAUUUUAUUGGGUAAUUACAAUGAAGAGCGCUCAAUUCGAAUCUAUAGAAACCUGUCUGAAGCUUUGAAAUAAAAGGAAAAAUUUGGUUUAUGUGUUAUCUGCUUUUUCAAGGUUGCAUUACUGGUGAGAAUUACAGUCUACUUGGUAGAUAGCGUCAUUAUAUUCAUAUUUACUGUGAGAAAACUCAUGAGAAUCACUCAUUGUAUUUUUACUGGAAUUUCACCUUGUCUAUAAAAAAAUAAAAUUCUCAAGAAUGUGGAACAAUAUUUAUUAUUAUUAUCGCGUCACUCUUUCCAGACUAUCUAUCUGAAGUGGCUGUACUAUAAAAGAAUUUAAUAAAAACAGUUUAGAUUUGCUACUUUAUUGGUGAGUUGGAAGAUAAAGUAAAAGUGAGAAGUUUCCGAUAGUAGAACACUUAUCUAUGACAAGCACAUUCGGUUGAAGGUUAUUGUGAUUUCCGCGAAAUAUUGCUUCAAAGUGACAGACAACUUCACAUAGGUGGUUAAAUUGGAUUUUUAAUUAUUCUCGUAUCAGUAGUGGAUAUUAAUUGAUAGUGGAAGGUAGUUGUGUAAACAGUUGUAGACGUAUAAUACUGGAACAAUGUCGCCGAAAAAUAUUGAAAAUCAGGAUGCAAUACAGGCUGAUUGGACUCCUAAAGAUCUGCCGGUUCAAGCAGCAUUGCCGGCGAACAGUCCAGCAGCUGAGCAGAAGCAGAAGAAUGGUCCGAAAACGGCUCUGGUCAGAUGGGACACUGGACGUAGCUAUCUCCUGCUUGCAUUCGUCAUAUGCCAGGUUGUAUGGGCAGCCGUCUACUUUCCACUACAAACGUUGACUGAUAAGUUUUAGAAGCAAACAACAUUAUAAUGUAGACCACAAACUCAACAAAUGGCAAUCCUCCAAGUAAAACAUGUUUUUCAACCGA